rnacentral:lncRNA from 1 species
AGUCUAAAUCAUGACUAGAUUCAAACAAUAUCAAAUUUAGCUUUUAAAAUACCAAAUUCCCUUUCAAAGCUUAUACCUAAUUAUACAAAAAAAAACAUCCAUAUUUUUUUCCUUAAUUUUUUCUUGGAUAUAUUAAUUUACAAACUAAUUAAAACCAACUCUCCCUUACUUUCUAAUACUCUUUUCAAUUUAUCCUUCAAAUCAAACAAGAAUAUAUCUAAUAAAUCUUCCAUUUUAUGCGCAAAAAAAUU